rnacentral:rRNA from 1 species
UACAGAGGUCUCAAGCGUUGUUCGGAAUCACUGGGCGUAAAGGGUGCGUAGGCGGCUCGGUAAGUCAGAGGUGAAAUCCCGGAGCUCAACUUCGGAAUUGCCUCCGAUACUGCCGUGCUUGAGGACUGGAGAGGAGAUUGGAAUUCACAGUGGAGCAGUGAAAUGCGUAGAUAUUGUGAGGAACAUGAGUGGCGAAGGCGACCCCCUGGACAUUUCCUGACGCUGAGGUACGAAGGCCUGGGUAGCAAACGGG